rnacentral:lncRNA from 1 species
CGGGAACGGGGCGCGAGUGCGGCGCUCGGUGCGGGGGGAUCGGGACGGUGCGGGGACGUUGCCGUGGGCAGGAGGAUUGCACAGGAGAAGAAGUGCUAAACUGGAUCUCUUGUUCCUGCCUUAAUUCCUGUCACUUCUCAGAGCAGCCUACAGUCCUGCUGUGUGUGUGCAGCGCUCCUGGUGCGGCUUCAGAUUUGAAUAUCCUGGGGCUCUUCCGUUCUUGAUCCGGGCUUCAGCUCUGAGCCGGAGGUUGGUGUCGGUGUCCGAAGGACCGGCAGGGAGCACACAGCUGCACAGCGGGAAUUCCAACUUUAAUGACAUCGGAGUAAGUCCCUGCCUUCACAACAGGCCUACAAGACAUGUUCAUGGAUACUCCGAAGAGUUAGAAAUCAAAAGACAGAUUCCUUAAAAGCAAAUGGAAGUCACAGAUGUACAAACAGAGGAAGGAUUUGGGCCAUUUUUGUUACAGUCUGAAGAAAAGUCAAAUAUAAUCUACCAGCACCAAGAUGCUGUGGUAUGUUUUACAACAUAUCACCCCAACACCAAGCGCUGUCCAUGAGUAACUCCUACAAACUUUUGCUGUAACGAGCCCUCCCCUUGUGUUUUUGGCAUGUUGUUCUCAUGGCUGGACAGUCUGUCUGUGUGUGGUCAGAGUUCUAUGUUCAAAUUUAUCUUGAAGUGAUGGAUUUUUGUCUUGUGCUUCACUUCUCUAACACUUUUUGGUGCUGCCUCUUCCUUUCUUGGGAGGGAUAUAUUAGGAAAUGCCAUAAACAUACGUUCCUAGCAUUUUAAUAAAUGGGAGAUCAGUGUUACUGACAAACAGAACUGUAUCAUCUGGGAUUCAGUAUCUCUUCUUGGCAAUAAGCAAAUUCUCUGAUGAUACGGAAAGUUAAACUCAUCCUUUUUCAUUUGCCAAAGCAAAUUCCUUUUUUUGUUGUUCCUAAUAGCAGGUUCUCUGUGAUAAAGCAAAGAAGAAUACAAGGAGGGACCGGUGCAGGCAAUUAACAUCAACUGUUAGGACACUGAUUGCAGAACCCUAUCUUCCAGCACAAGUCCUCCAGCUCUCCUGCCAGCUGCAAAGGAACAUUCCUGCCCCCACUCCGCUUAGCCCACUGCUUGGGGAACAGCCUGUGUUGAGCUCUCAGGGUAGAGUUAUACAAAGGUUUUAUUUCCAGUGGGAAAGCCAGUUUAAGCCAGGCAGUUUCCUGCCUGCUAUGCCCUCUUGUUCUGGCUCCUUCAUCACAGCUCACUGUGCCCUUGAUUGUGCCGAUGCAGCUGUUUCUGGGCUGUGCUGUAAAUUG